rnacentral:lncRNA from 1 species
GUUCUCUAGAAAAAUAAUAUUAAUCCGAACUAGAAAUAAUCAAAAGGUUGAUUUUAAGGAAAAAUUCUAGAAUGCAACGGGUAUAUUAGUGACGUGGCGUAACAAACCAAUCAAAUUAAUGCUUUUAAGAAUAUAUGUCCCAUCAUGAUUGUAAAAAAGUAUUUUUAUUGUACUUUUUUUUGACAAGAAUGAAUGUGAUUGGCUUGUUAUUGAUGACGUGGUGCAAGUGUGACAGUGUAGAAUUCCUCGAUUUUAAGAGUUGGCCUUUUUGCAUAAAAAAUCCACUUAUUUUGGGCUUUUGCAAAACCGGGUCACCUUUUUCGUUUUUGCAGAUUCGGUCCGCUUUUUCAGCAAACUGACCAAAAUACCCUUAUUACUUUUUCUCUUUCCUCUUUCUCUCUCCUCUUCGUUUCUAUCGUUUUUUUUUUUUCGCCGAAAAAAAAAGAGGCGGACCGUCGCCUUCUUCUUCACCGUCGCCUCCCUUCUCACCCUCCUC